rnacentral:rRNA from 1 species
GGCGAGCGAAGCGGGAAGAGCUCAAAUUUGUAAUCUGGCACCUUCGGUGUCCGAGUUGUAAUCUCUAGAAGUGUUUUCCGCGUUGGACCGCACACAAGUCUGUUGGAAUACAGCGGCAUAGUGGUGAUACCCCAUUACACGGUGCGGACGCCCAGCGCUUUGUGAUACACUUUCGACGAGUCGAGUUGUUUGGGAAUGCAGCUCAAAUUGGGUGGUAAAUUCCAUCUAAAGCUAAAUAUUGGCGAGAGACCGAUAGCGAACAAGUACCGUGAGGGAAAGAUGAAAAGCACUUUGGAAAGAGAGUUAAAAGUACGUGAAAUUGUUGGAAGGGAAACGCUUGAAGUCAGACUUGCUUGCCGGGCUUGCUCGGUUUGCAGGCCAGCAUCAGUUUUCCGGGGCGGAUAAUGGCAGUUAGAAUGUAGCAGUCUCGGCUGUGUUAUAGCUUUCUGCUGGAUACGUCCUGGGGGACUGAGGAACGCAGCGUGCCGUAUGGCGAGGGCUUCGGUCCUUUCACGCUUAGGAUGCUGGUGGAAUGGCUUUAAACGA